CCCUCCCGCCUCAGCUCAGCGCGGGCGGGGCCGGGGCGGGCCCGCCGCCCCUAUAAAGCGCCUCGCGCGGGGUCUGCUGCCCUCUUGUUCCGGCGCGACGGACGGCCUCAAUGAAACCUGAUGCCGUGGGUCUGGUGUGCGAUGAGGGCAGCUCUGCCAUGCCUAGGCCUCCCGCAGGUGGGAAUGGGCACUGCAAGGGCAGAGGGGAUGCUGAGCCUCUGGAAGACUGGAUGUGAUGGCUCUGUCUCGUAGUGGUGAAUUGCAUGAUGAGGGCAGUUGCCUGGUUUGCUCCACCAUGCCCGAACCUCUAGCAAGUCAGGAUGGGUGCUGGCAGAGGGAGUGAUGAGCCUCUGGGAGCCUGGAUGUGAUGGCUAUUGCUGGCAGUGAUGAAUUGUAUGAGGGCAGUUUCCUGGUUUGCUCCAUCAUACGUGCCCGUCUGGCAGGGAAAAAUGGUUGAGAUUUGUCAGAAGUUGUCUGGGGACCUGCUGUGAUAUCAGGGUACUUAGCAGAAAGUGGCCUGCUGCUGAUGUCCCUCUCUGCUGCUGCCUGUGAUCCCUUGUCCAAGAGCAUUCACAUCAUCCUGGAACAUCUCUGGUCUUUUCUCAGGGCUAGCAGGAGUGAUAAAUUGGUGUCCUGCCAACUUACAGAUGAAAUGUGUUGUAUUUUUCUUCCCCUUGGUAUUGAGGCAUUUAACUGUAAUAGAUUCUGGAACUUGAUGCAUGUUUAAUGUAAUUGGUUUCUUUUGUCUGCAAGAGCUGCAUUCACCACCUGAUAGCUAAUGUUAUCUUACCACAAUCAUUAAAAGGAAGGAAGCUUCUCCUUGGAGAGCAGUUGUCAAGUAUGGGAGGAUGGCUUUCCGUGUAAGGAGAGGGGAGAUUCAAGUCUUGGCUCUCCCCUGUCAUCCAGAAAGCUUUAGUAAUGUGUCAUUGGCAGCCUGUGAAGCAGGAAAGGGGCAACGUGGAUGCUGCAGCUCAGUAUUUCUGUACUGUUUAGAGCCUAUUUUUAAUAAAAUCUGCAUACUGUGUGAA